rnacentral:tRNA from 1 species
GAAGAUGUAGUAUAAAUAAUUACAUACCAUUUACACUGGUAAAAUUCUUAGUGACAUUUUCU